rnacentral:rRNA from 1 species
GGCUCAGAUUGUUCGCUGGCGGCAGGCCUUUCACAUGCUUGUCGAGCGGCAGCGGGACCUUCGGGUUGCCGGCGAGCGGCGGACGGGUGAGUUUUGCCUAGGUUUCUGCCUGUUAGUGGGGGAUUUCGCGGGGUUACUCGCGCUUUUACCGCAUACGUCCUACGGGAGAAAGUGGGGGACCCUCGGGCCUCACGCUAACAGAUGAGCCUAGGUCGGAUUAGCUAGUUGGUGGGGUUUAGGCCCACCUUGGCGACGAUCCGUUUCUGGUCUGAGAGGAUGAUCAGUCACACUGGUUCUGAGACACGGUCCAGACUCCUACGGGAGGCAGCAGUGGGGUUUAUUGGACAAUGGGCGUUAGCCUGAUCCAGCCAUGCCGCGUGUGUGUUGUUGGUCUUCGGAUUGUUUAGCACUUUUUGUUGGGAGGUUGGGCGCUCGGUGUUUACCCUUGCGUCUUGACGUUACCGACAGUUUUUGCACCGGCUUUCUUCGUGCCAGCAGCCGCGGUUUUACGUUGGGUGCUUGCGUUUUUCGGUUUUACUGGGCGUUUAGCGCGCGUAGGUGGUUCGGCUUGUUGGAUGUGUUAGCCCCGGGCUCUUCCUGGGUUCCGCAUCCUUUUCUACUGGGCUAGAGUACGGUAGAGGGUGGUGGUUUUUCCUGUGUAGCGGUGUUAUGCGUAGAUAUAGGUUGGUUCACCAGUGGCGUUGGCGACCACCUGGACCGAUACUGACACUGAGGUGCGUUAGCGUGGGGAGCUUACAGGAUUAGAUACCCUGGUAGUCCACGCCGUUUACGAUGUCGACUAGCCGUUGGGCUCCUUGAGAGCUUAGUGGCGCAGCUUUCGCAUUUUGUCGACCGCCUGGGGAGUACGGCGCAAGGUUUUUUCUCUUAUGUUUUGACGGGGGCCCGCACUUGCGGUGGAGCAUGUGGUUUUUUUCGUUGCUUCGCGUUGUUCCUUACCUGGCCUUGACAUCCUGCGUUCUUUCUUGAGAUUGAUGGGUGCCUUCGGGAGCGCAGAGACAGGUGCUGCAUGGCUGUCGUCAGCUCGUGUCGUGAGAUGUUGGGUUUUGUCCCGUUUCGAGCGCUUCCCUUGUCCUUAGUUACCAGCGAUUCGGUCGGGCACUCUUUGGAGACUGCCGGUGACUUACCGGAGGUUGGUGGGGAUGACGUCAAGUCAUCAUGGCCCUUACGGCCAGGGCUACACACGUGCUACUUUGGUCGGUACUUAGGGUUGCCUUGUCGCGAGGCGGAGCUUUUCCCAGUUUUCCGAUCGUAGUCCGGAUCGCAGUCUGCUUCUCGACUGCGUGUUGUCGGUUUCGCUAGUUUUCGCGUUUCAGAAUGUCGCGGUGUUUACGUUCCCGGGCCUUGUACACACCGCCCGUCACACCAUGGGAGUGGGUUGCUCCAGUUGUAGCUAGUCUUUCCCUCGGGAGGACGGUUACCACGGAGUGAUUCAUGACUGGGGUGUUGUCG